UACUUGACUUUUCCAACUGUUACACUUACAGCUAUGCAUUCAUUCAAUUCACAAGGAAACUUAAUACCCGAUGAGUGUCUCUAUCCAUUCAUGUGUGGGGCUUCAUAAUCUGCCCCUCUAUAUCUAUGUACAUUAAUCUAAUCGGUUGAUAACCUUUCCCCCAUUUUUAAAUGUAUUCAACAAUCAACAUACAGAUCUCUCUAUCUCUCUGUUCUAAACAAUCAUUUUUUGUUUAUACAGCCCACAACUUAUAACUUGUCCUCUUUCUUCAGCAAUCUCUAUCUCUCUCAAUCAAAUUGCCCCCAGAAAAAGAAAACCCCAUAAAUCAUCACUACUAGAUUAAUUAGUUUAAUCAAUCUCUAUGAUUUGUGAUUAGUGGUGGAGUGUUAAUAAGAUGAUUAGAGAAAACGGAGAGUUUAUAAUAGAAAGUGUUGAUGGAGUUACAUCUUGGUUGAUAUGGAUUCAUUUCUUGGUUAUGCUCCUUCUUAUGAUUAUUCUUUUUUAUUUCACAAUCAUAUCAGUAUCCGAUAAGUCUACAUCUUCUUCAUCGCCACCGCCGUCAUCGUUGUUGGGUCAGAAUCAGAUCUCUGCUAAUAAGAAGUACAAUCACAGUAUUAGUACCAAUGGUUCAUCACAAGUAAUCAAGGUCUGCAGGUAAAUGAAGGUCACACAGAAAAUCAAUCAACAAGCAGAAGAGGAAUCAUAAGACCUCAAGUUAAUGAAGUUGAAGCUUUCACUCCUCCUCCUGCUACUACUACUUCAACGGCCUAUUGUAGUAGUUCAUCAUAUAAUCCUUGUUACUUGCUUGAAUUAGGCAGAAGGGCUUUUCUCAAAUGCUUGGGUCUUGAUGAUUCUUCUACUACCUCACAAGAGUCUUCUCAACACAAUGGUAAUAAUAGUCAAGAGAAGCUAACAAAGAGAGACAAAAGCCAAUAAAUGAACAACAACUCCAAACUAAAAUCCGAACUCUAGGAAGGGCAUCCGGAUGUGGAGGGAGCUAAUGGAAUGGUGCUGUUUGAUAGAUAUAUGAACCAUAUCCAUAUGGUUAUGGUGGGACAUUGUCAAUAUUUAAGAACUUGAUCAAAUGUAUCUGUUAGUUAACCCUAACCUUUUCAUCUAGAUAAGUUCAUAAUUUCAUUUAUUCUUGUAGGUCACAGAAAUCAUUUUGGUACCAUUUGUAUCGGCACAAUAAAACAUCAUAUUUAGGACCUUUUAUGGUUUUAUGGCUUGAAAAAUGUUUGGCUGUAAUGUCAGGGUUAUUAAUCUGAGAUUAAAACUGUUUGAGUUGUAUGCUAUCACUCUUUUUUAUUUUUUC